rnacentral:rRNA from 1 species
UACGGAAGGCAGCAGUGGGGAAUAUUGCACAAUGGGCGCAAGCCUGAUGCAGCCAUGCCGCGUGUAUGAAGAAGGCCUUCGGGUUGUAAAGUACUUUCAGCGGGGAGGAAGGCGAUGCGGUUAAUAACCGCGUCGAUUGACGUUACCCGCAGAAGAAGCACCGGCUAACUCCGUGCCAGCAGCCGCGGUAAUACGGAGGGUGCAAGCGUUAAUCGGAAUUACUGGGCGUAAAGCGCACGCAGGCGGUCUGUUAAGUCAGAUGUGAAAUCCCCGGGCUUAACCUGGGAACUGCAUUUUGAACUGGCAGGCUUGAGUCUUGUAGAGGGGGUAGAAUUCCAGGUGUAGCGGUGAAAUGCGUAGAGAUCUGGAGGAAUACCGGUGGCGAAGGCGGCCCCUGGGACAAAGCUGACGCUCAGGGUGCGAAAGCGUGGGGAGCAAACGAGGAUUAGAUACC